UUCCUUGGGNCGGGAUACCCCUGGGNNACUGGGGCUAAUACCGGAUAGAGCAUUGAUUGCUGGAAUGCACGAUGUUCGAAAGCUGAGGCGCCCAAGGAUAGGUCUGUGGCCGAUUAGGUUGUUGUUGAUGUAACGGAUCAACAAGCCUACGAUCGGUACGGGUUGUGAGAGCAAUAGCCCGGAGAUGGGUUCUGAGAGAAGAACCCAGGUCCUACGGGACGCAUCAGGCGCGAAAACUUUACAAUGUGCGAAAGCACGAUAAGGGAACUCUGAGUGCCUCCUAAGGAGGCUGUUCAGGUGUUUAAAAAGCAUCUGGAGGAAGGGCUGGGUAAGACCGGUGCCAGCCGCCGCGGUAACACCGGCAGCCCAAGUGGUAGUCACGCUUACUGGGUCUAAAGCGUCCGUAGCCGGCUGGGUAAGUUCCUUGGGAAAUUUGCUCGCUUAACGAUCAAGCUACCUGGGAAUACUACUUGGCUUGGGACCGGGAGAGGUCAAAGGUACUUCAAGGGUANGGGUGAAAUCCGUUAAUCCUUGGGGGACCCCNANUANCGAANGCGUCUGAUCAAACCGNAUCCAACGGUGAGGGACNAAGGCUAGGGGANCNAACCGAAUNAAANNCCCG
rnacentral:rRNA from 1 species